UAUACCACAUGAGUUUAAAAAAAAAAAAAUAGUAAAGUAGAAAUAACCAUUGUGGCUUAUCCUCUUGGUGAGAGAGAUAGAGGCUGUGGCUUGGGAACAAAAUACCUUUAUUUUUGCCUAGCAUGGAAACAGGAGUGCUGUGUCUUUGGCCCAGAUGGAAAACCAAUUUUUAGAGGCAGAAGAUGGAGGAUGCAGAUUGCCCUGCAGUCCUGGAGCCUUGAACUGUGGACCUCGCCUGCAGAUGCUCUGUUCCAAGGCUGGUCAUGCUGGUGCUGAGUACCAUGGCAAUGUAACUUCCUGAGUUAUUGGUUAGAAGCAAAACCAAAACCCAACUUGCAUUAAGAUAACAGUACCAAACUGGAAGCUGAAGUGGUCCUUUCCAUUUGAUUGCGGUCACAUCAGGUCCUUAGACUUGAUCCUGAGCCAUCUGCUAAUUGCUGCAGUUUUGCAGUCAUAUAUCCCAAAGCUAAUUUAGUUUGGAAGAAGCUGUUGGAACAUGGAUACAUCCUUGGAAAUCACUGAGUGCCUCUGUUAAUGGGCACUGUAAAUUGAUGAGCUGCUCCAGCCUGCCCUACCACAGGACAAACUCAGAUAGUGUCCUGUCCUUCAGAGACUUCUUAGACCCUGUGCUGCUGAGUAUCUUUGGAGGAUGCUGCAAGCUAAAGGAAGCCCCGAGGCUAUCUGUCCAUAAUACCAGACUGAAGAGCUAUCUAGACACUGAAACUACAGGCAGGAUGGGCAAGACCCCAGAGCACCUGUUAGCCCCAUGACGGAACAUGUCAGCACAUUUAUUUGCCUACUGGCAUGUGGGAACUGUCCUGUCAGGUGGUUAUGGGGCACGUGGUGCAUGGGAUGCCGUUGGGUCAUGCUUCAGGAUGUUCUGUUGGCUUCUCUUUUUGAGCAGUACAAUUGCAGCUGCCAAAGCCCAAACUGCAGUACCAUUCUGCACCCCAAAACACUGUCAGGCGUGCUAAAGAAAGCAGAAACUAAAUGCAGAGUGCAUUUGGACCAAGGCAGGAUCUUCAGAUUACUGCUGUUCUUUGAAAGCCUGUAUGUGUGCCUUUGAAUACAGCAGUGACAACACAGCAAAGCGUUGUUGGUGAUGCUGCACCAGCCUCUCUGGGGACCUUUUAUCGACAUGGGUCUGUCAAGGUUAUUAGAAACAUCAAACUAAACAAAACAUGAUGGAAGGAUAGACACUGAUUUGUCAUCAUCUUUUGCUGUUAUAACUACUCCUCCUGUGCUCUCCAUCACUCUGAUGCCCCGUUUGACUCAGUCUGUUAAGGUACUUGUCCUCACGACACCCCGGUGAGGUGAGGGAAGAGCUGCAGAUGGGCACAGACACUGUGUCUGUGUUAAUAACAAGUAAAAAAAACAUUUCCAGAACUGGCUUGUGCCCCUGAGGCCAGAAGCACCACGUGGGCUGUGGCAGCUACCAGGGUCACCCCGGAAUAGGACUGCAAGUUGUUAUGUGCAGGCUGCAGCAUAAGGCACAGUUCAACCAUGCUUCCCAGGACCAGAGGUAUGGGACCCUGUUAGCAGAGUCCAUAGCUGAUGGCAUGUAUCAGUUCUGAUUGUGCAAGUUAUUUCUGGGGGAAAAUAAAAACAAAAGAGAAGAGACUGCUUCGUGUGAUGCAGUUGCUGUGGAAGACUGCCAGCUGAGGAAAUGGCGGGCUGUCUCUAGUGUCCUCUGUCUCCACAGGUGGGCCACAGGUCUCCAGCUCCUCACAAGCACUACAAAGAGAGGUGCCUGAACCUAGAUGUGUAGGACCUCUGGUCCUGGGCCAAGUAUGCUAAGGCACUUGGUAGCAGUCCCUCUCUCACAGAGCUCUAGAGUUUGGUGUCAGAUGCAUUUCUGUUGAACAGGUUGUUCUGGCUGGACACUUGUAUGUAAGCCAUACUUAGGUGGGUUAUUUUGUUGCUACUCUGGGCAGUGGGCCUGUGGAAACCUCACCUCCAUUCACCUCAAUCUAAAAACAGGUGGGGAGAGACCCCACAACUCUUUUUUGACUCAUUCCCUCUUAGGUUGCAUUAGGAAUAGCUGUGUUAUCAAUUCCACAAUCCUGCCAUGACCAAGCACAGUUGUCUAGUAAAAAUGGUGGUGUGCAAAGCAGCUUGCACUACUGAGUGUUUUAUACAGUGAUGCUGAGUUCAGAGGGAUUUGAGGACUGGUGUAACAGCAAGAGAGCUGCAUGAAGAGAAAUUAUGCUGGAAUAUUUCUGGAGGACAGUGCAGCAGGACAUACCAAAGUGGUACACUGUAUUGCUUCCUACAUUAUCUGGUUCAUGCCAGACAGCACUUAGGAACUGCUUGGUUAAGUGCAACCCGGCACAAGCCAAAAGCAUGGUGGACAUAUUUUAACAGUAGAGGCAAAUAUGCCCUCAUCAUAUUUAGUUUUCUGAGGUAGACAUAUAGGGAAGCUAUGUCUCAUUUUCCUGCAGAUAUUGCCUUCCCUUCCACUGAUCUCAGACUCAGCCAGACGCUCUAGGUAAGCACACAAAUAUUUUUGUAGGCUUGACCCAACCAGGUGACCCACCAUCAUGUGGGAAGUCUCUGACAGAGGAAGACACUUCGCCUGUCAGUCUAGACACAGUAGUCAGGCUGCUCAUGUGGGUAAAGGGAGGUAUCAGAGAAAGGCAAGGUGGGGCCUGGGCACCUCCUGCAGCAUCCUCAGGGCAGGGGUCUGUAUUCUUUUCAUUUGUCUGUAAAGCACAUAGCUGUGGCCUUGUGUAAAUAAUGCAUAACAUGCACAGUCGUAUUUUCUACACUUCCUUGCCCACACAGAUGGCUUCUAUGGGAAAAUGUCAUUGUUGAUCAUUAAAAGACGACAAACUCAUCAAUUACCAAAAUAAAUAAAUGGUAUAAUGUUGGCAUUGUUGGCUUUUCAGCUGAGUAGGAUCC